GAGUUCGAUCCUGGCUCAGGAUGAACGCUGGCGGAUGCUUAACACAUGCAAGUCGAACGGGAAGUGGUGUUUCCAGGGGGGAACGGGUGAGUAACGCGUAAGAACCUGGCCUUGGGAGGGGAACAACAACUGGAAACGGUUGCUAAUACCCCGUAGGCUGAGGAGCAAAAGGAGAAAUCCGCCCAAGGAGGGGCUCGCGUCUGAUUAGCUAGUUGGUGAGGCAAUAGCUUACCAAGGCGAUGAUCAGUAGCUGGUCCGAGAGGAUGAUCAGCCACACUGGGACUGAGACACGGCCCAGACUCCUACGGGAGGCAGCAGUGGGGAAUUUUCCGCAAUGGGCGAAAGCCUGACGGAGCAAUGCCGCGUGGAGGUGGAAGGCCCACGGGUCGUCAACUUCUUUUCUCGGAGAAGAAACAAUGACGGUAUCUGAGGAAUAAGCAUCGGCUAACUCUGUGCCAGCAGCCGCGGUAAGACAGAGGAUGCAAGCGUUAUCCGGAAUGAUUGGGCGUAAAGCAUCUGUAGGUGGCUUUUCAAGUCCGCCGUCAAAUCCCAGGGCUCAACCCUGGACAGGCGGUGGAAACUACCAAGUAUGGAGCGGUCGUCGUGCGAGAUGAAAGUCUCAUGCACGGUUUUGCAUGAGAGAAAGAAGCGAGGAAUCCUCUUUUCGACUCUGACUCCCCCACUCC
rnacentral:ncRNA from 1 species